UACACUCCUGCGGGAGGCAGCAGUGGGGAAUUUUGGACAAUGGGCGAAAGCCUGAUCCAGCAAUGCCGCGUGCAGGAUGAAGGCCUUCGGGUUGUAAACUGCUUUUGUACGGAACGAAAAAGCUCCUUCUAAUACAGGGGGCCCAUGACGGUACCGUAAGAAUAAGCACCGGCUAACUACGUGCCAGCAGCCGCGGUAAUACGUAGGGUGCGAGCGUUAAUCGGAAUUACUGGGCGUAAAGCGUGCGCAGGCGGUUAUGUAAGACAGAUGUGAAAUCCCCGGGCUCAACCUGGGAACUGCAUUUGUGACUGCAUGGCUAGAGUACGGUAGAGGGGGAUGGAAUUCCGCGUGUAGCAGUGAAAUGCGUAGAUAUGCGGAGGAACACCGAUGGCGAAGGCAAUCCCCUGGACCUGUACUGACGCUCAUGCACGAAAGCGUGGGGAGCAAACAGGAUUAGAAACCCGGGUAGUCCCAUG
rnacentral:rRNA from 1 species